AUACGGAGGGUGCAAGCGUUACUCGGAAUCACUGGGCGUAAAGGAUGCGUAGGCUGGAUGUCAAGUUGGAAGUGAAAUCCUAUGGCUUAACCAUAGAACUGCUUCCAAAACUGGCAACCUAGAGUGAGGGAGAGGCAGAUGGAAUUAGUGGUGUAGGGGUAAAAUCCGUAGAUAUCACUAGGAAUACCGAUUGCGAAGGCGAUCUGCUAGAACUAUACUGACGCUAAGGCAUGAAAGCGUGGGGAGCAAACAGGAUUAGAUACCCUAGUAGUCC
rnacentral:rRNA from 1 species